CAGUCUGGGGAUGGGGAUCCAGAGUAUGGUCAUUAUUUCAAUAUCUUUGCUUAUUUGUAAUACUUACAAUGUCUAGUAUAGUAUUCUAGUCUGUUUCAGACAUUUUUCACAUGCUGAGCACUGUUAUGGGCCGCAGCCUCAGAUAGUUUGGGCCUCAAUUCUGGUCUCAGAGGUCCAGGAGACAGGCAGAUAAACAAAAUUUCAAUGUGUGAAAACAUGUGCUAUUUAAUAUCUAAGGUGAACACAGAAGAGGAGGUAACGACCUCCAUGGAGCUGGUUUUCUCGAGGUUAUCAGCAUGGAUUCCUAGAGGAGGUGAAUUAUCUACUGGGUUUCACAGGAUGAGUAGAAUACAUCAGGUGAGGGGGACUUCUGGUUGGAAGGAAUUGCAUGUUUUAUGACAGUGGAAUAUAAAAUAUUCCAGUGGGUUGAAUGGAGGACUGUUUGAAUUGUGGGAGGACUGUUGGGUUGGACUGGGAGGUGGAAAGGUAGAGUCAUCAAUAUGCUUGUGAGCCCUGUUGAGAGGAGAAAGCCUUGGUCAUGCAGUUAGCAAGGGCCAAGGAGAGGUGUGGGGAAGCAGAAAUGUAUGGCAGGCAUCUGCCUCUGGAGCCAAAAGCCUAGGUUCAUCCAAGGAGGGCUCUACUACCGUCCUGAAGUUUCAUUGCCUAUGAAAAUAUUUACCAUGGCAUUUUCCUAAGUAGUUUUUUUUUUUCCUAAGUAGUUUUAUUCUGUUAAAAUAUCACAGAACAUGAUGCACCUAUUGGGAGGGGCAAUCAUGACCACAUUGUCUUUUCUCUAAAACUAUUGAAUUUAUGUUGAAUUUUCAUGUAGAUGCAGGGAUGCCAGGUGCAUUGGAAGUGGGCUCUGUCAGUGUGUCUACAAAAUGGAAUGGUGUCCACUAUACUGCUGGCCUGGAGUCCCCACUUCAAGACAGCACCAACAUGCCAUCUCUUACCUACACAGCGUCCUGAUGGAAGAGUGCUUUCACGUAGAGCAUCCUCCACCCUCAUCCAUAACCUGUGUAAGAAUUCUCAUGAGCUGGGAAGAAAAGGAGCAAUGGUCCAGAUUUAUGGGUAAAGAAAUGGAGAUAGAGCAGUUAAGUAAUAUGUCCAAAGUCACAUAGCUGUUAAGUGUCAGAGCUGGGACUCAGACCCAGGUCUUCUGAUUUCAUAUCCAUCUACCAAAAGAUAGGACUUUACAGGUUAAAAAAGGGCUAUGAGAUGAUGGAGGGGUGGACAGGCUUAAGCCAUGAUAGAAAUAAAUCAGAGAAAGAAUAUGAUAUUUAUUGAGUGUCUAGGAUUCAUUCUCUUGCAUACCACUGUCUCUUCUUGGAAGCACUGAGUCCCCUGUCCUUAUUUUAAAAUGGAGGAAUCUUAAACCCAAAGAGGUGAUAUAAUGUGCUUGAGGUCCUACAAGUUAGUAAGUUUUGAGUUUGUUGCUGUGAACCAAACUUCAGAAGAAAGCAGAAAAAUAUUAUAGCAAGCUCAAGAGAGAGGAUGGUAAGAGACCUCAAAAUCAUGACAUUGGGGAACAGCUAAAGAACAGAGAAGAUUUAUCUGGGAGGAGCGAGAUCUCAGGAUAGAUAUGUCACUAGGCAUGCUGUAUGUGGCCCUGAGAAGGUUCCAUAAAUCAGUGUGGACACUCCUGAUGGAUGGCCUUUGGGUUACUAUAAGAAAAGACUUUCUAGGAGUGAGAGCCAUCUAAAAGUGGAGCUGUGGCAUUGGCACAUAGUGAGCUCGCUGGCUUUGGAGGAGUUCAAAAUCUUAGUAGAAAUACUGUGUGAGAUUUAAGCAUUAUUUGAGGUUGAAUAACAGUUCUUUCUAACCUGGAAAAUUUCAGAUUCUCAUCCAUCAUUCAUUGAUUCACUAGAACAUAAACUGCCUCCAAGUGGGGACAGUUUCCUUCACAACUUUAUCUUUAGUUCCUAGAAUAUUACCGGACACAGAAGAGCUCCAGACUCAGAGUCAAGGCAGAGGUGCAAGAAAGUGAGUAGAGGUAUGCAAGCCCCUUGACACAGAGGUUCAGUACAGGCACAUUGUCACUUCUGCCACAUUCGAGUGGCUAAAGCAGGUCAGCAGGUCAGCCUAGCUUCAGAGAGAGGGAAAACAGACUCCAUCACUUGGUAGAAAGAUGUACAAAGUCAUAUUGCAAAGGGCACUGAUGUAGGCAGAGGUGGGAAAUUGAGACCUACACAAUCUAGCCACACAAGUCUUCCUUUAGGAGAGGUUGGGGAGGGGAUGCUUGGGUGUCUCAGCAGUUGAGCAUAUGCCUUCUGCUCAGGGCAUGAUCCCAGGGUCCAAGGAUCAAGUCCCACAUCAGGUACCCCUGCAGGGACCUUGCUUCUCCCUCUGCCUGUGUCUCUGCUUCUCUUUCUAUGUUUCGAAUGAAUGAAUGAAUGAAUGAAUAAAUAAAUAAAUAAAUAAAUAAAUAAAAAGAGAGAGGCCGGGAAGGUCUUCUCAGAUGCCCACCCAUGUGACUAAUCUGGUCUUGACCCUCUAAAAGUAGGUCAUUCUGGGGUUUUGAGGGGCAGAGGGGAAGCCUUACUGAUAGGAGCAUGAGGGAGAAGGGACAUCAGAGAAAAAGUCAAGACAUAGGGUGAGGAUGAGGGCAGGGGAGGAGGUGACAGAGAUACUCAAUUCUGAUUUCUCACUGGUCUGAUUCUUGAUCUGAGGUUGAGCCAUAGUGCCCUUGGCUUCUACCCACUUUGAUUCAGGACCAUUUAUUCAAUCUCUCUUUUCCUUAUCCCCUAUUCUCCUUUCCCUUUCACCUGCAAAGGCCCCAGAGCUAGCUCAGUGGGGACACUGUGGCAGGAAUUGUGGAGAGAAAGGUAGAAAGUGUGUCAAGAAUACGACAGCAAUCAAUGUUAGGACCAGGAUGGUUGGGGGUUGUUAAGUUAAAAUUGUAGAAAGGGGUUCAAGGAUGUUGCAAAGUGAGGGUUUGUGGUGAAGAUCAUGGUAGGUAUCUAUGGUCUAUAGGUUUUAAAGUACGUGAGAAUAGAGGCCAGGUCUGUUUUCUUUACGAAUGUAUACUCUGUUCUUAUACAGAGCAGGUGAUCUUUAAACAUGUGUUGAGUAAAUGAAUGAUUGCACGUGCUGAAUCCAUGGAUGUAUAUGUUCAUGAAUGAGUGGUCCUGGUCAUAGUCGGGCCUGGGAGCUGUAUUUAGUUUAGAGCAUUGGCUCCAGGGCCUUGCAGACUUCAGUUUAAAUACCAGCUCUACCACUUAUUAGGUGUACUAUCUCUGGCCUUCAGUUUUCUAAUCUGUAAGAAUAGGGUCAACAAAUAAGACCUGAAAGUUUCACUACAGGGACUCAGCAUAAAAAAUGGUGCAGCCCAAAGGCUGGCAUGGAGAGUUUUUGAAAACUGGUAGCUAUUAAUGUUGUUGGUGGUGGGGGGGGGGUGGAUUUGAAGUGUGUGAGUGUGUCAGCUGGGAGUAAAUCUGACAGACCCAGAAGCUCUAUAAGGGACGCUGACCCCUCAAGCCCGAAGAAGAGACUUGAGCCUGUGCUACUUUUUGCAACAAAGACAACAAAAUCAGCCAUAAAAAUGUUAUUAAGAACACAACAGCUUUUGCUUUUCUAAGCCCCAGAUGCUAUGUUUCCCAUUCAGUACUACACAAAGCCAUUUGUUUCCAUGGUUUUCCAUCUCUGGCACUUUGAGUGAGGGAUGGGGACUGGUGGGAAGAGGAGGGAAGCAUGGAAAAUAAUUGGGCAUUUAUGAGUGAAAUUUUACUGCCUCCACGAUCAGAACCAAACUGGCUCCGAGCCCUUGUUGGAGGGACAUCUGCAUGGGCUCAGCCAACCAGCAUUGGCUAAUUCCUGUGACAAUACAUCCCAUGACAGUGGAAUGCCUUCGUGACAAUAGAUUUUCAGUGAUCUAUUUUUCUUGGGCCCUACUCAGUGUUCAAGCCAGAGCUCCUAACCGAGUCCAAGCCUCUAGCAGCAGGCACCAGUGUUUAGAGGGUUGUAUGCCUGUAACAUUUAUUCUCUGACACCUGUUUAGUUUCAGUUAUCUGCCCCCAAGAAAGUGAUUUUACAACCAUUUAUUUACUCAUAAAUUGGUCUACUUAUGGUAGGACUCAGCUGGGUAGUUCUUCUGCUCAUCUUACCGCCUCAUGUCAAAGGUUAUGCAGAUAUCAGCUCAGUUGGGCCCGGAAAUCCAAAGUAGUUCCCUUCCGCAUGUUUGUCCUCUCUGCUGAGAUGGCUAGAACACCGGGGGGUUAACGAGCCACCGCUGUUUCCCCAUUUGGUCUCUCCAAUAGGGUGGUCAGGCCUUUUAACAUGAUGGCUCAGGGAUCCAAGAGGGCUGACGUGGGAGCUUCGUGGUCUCCCAGAGCCUAGACCUCAAACUGGCAGAAGUGUCACUCCCUUCAUAUUCUGUGGGCCAGAGCGAUUCACAAGGUAGCCCAGAUUCAAGGGAAGGAGACAAGGGUUCCAGCUCUUGAAGGGCAGGCAGAGUGUUGUGUGGUCGCAGGAAUAUGAAGAGUUACCAAUGACCUUGCUGGCAUAGGGACCACCCCGAUUCUCCCCUUCUUGCCCUCGGUCACCUCAUUUACAAAAGAUCACAUACAAAGCCCGAAGGGGAAGUAGCCUGCCCAGAGAUAUGCAGAGAGAUGGAAGUGAUGAGACUGGGACCCCAACCUCCCAACUCUACACUUAGUGGACAUGAAGUCCACUAAGUCUUGCCAUAUCUUCUUGGGAAAGACUAAAAGUCUGGGAGCCCAAGCAGGAGUUCCAGAAGGAGACUCUGGAAGCAGAAGAAAGAUUUCGGGGGCCCAGGUCUCAACUAAGACUGGGUCUUGGUCUUCUGUUAGGAGUGUUCAUCUUGGACUACUGCCAUAGGACUUGUCUGGUGCCCUGGCAUAGCUGAGCGGCCAUUGAUGAUGUCUGGUUCAUUCCAUGCUGCAAGAGGAUAUGCUUCAGGAACUGAGCUGUGGGAGUCUGAAGAGGAACCAGAGGAUGAGCAUGGUGGCGACUUUUUGGGGAUCAGAUGGCGUUACAGUCCGUGAUGGUGACUCUGGCUGGCCCACGAAGGUCUCAAGAUCUGGGAAGAAAAAGUAUAAAACUGUGAUCCACCCACAUUUACACACACACACACACACACACUCACACAUCCAUCAUUUUAUUAAUUACUUGCUAUCAUAGGACUGUACACACAGUGAGAACCUUUGUCUGGUCUCACUUCCUUUGUACCAGUGAGUGGCAGUUGUAAUCAUGUUUCGAUCCUUUGAGUGCAUCUCAGAGCAAAACAUGGAAUCAGUGAAUGAGCACAACUGCGAGGAAUGGUCUCCCAGAGGCAUUUGAACCAUGGCAAGGCCCCAAAAUGAGCAGCAACCCAAGAGAGAGGCCAAGUCUCAGUUGGCAGGACAUGUGGCUGAGCAGGACUUGCCUGCUUGGAAGUCUCUAAGAGCACUUCUGGACACAUCCCCAGACACCACUCUUUCAACCUGAAAUUAAUGGAUCUGCUAGAGGCCACAUCCUCUGGGGACUCCCCAGGUGGAAGAGGGACAGAGAAUCAGACACACAAGCUCAGGAUCUCCCUGAGUGUUCCUAGGCUCCCCACACCUGAAAGGGCUUCCUCCCUCUCCAAGGAGAAGCAGCUCAGCGGCAGAACUGGGAUCGAGGUUCACCUCUGUCAGAGACCCUAUAAGAACCAGGCUUCUUUCUCCCCACCCCCUUCACUGCCUCUGAGCCACAGCCACAUCCUAUUAGCAGCCCUGGAGAUUAAGGACGGAAAUUUGACUUUUUAAUUUUAUUAUUCUUGUUCUUCCUUCCUGCUUCAUUAGAACCAUGUUAUUGGCCUAAAAUACUAUAUGUAAACGAUGCUCUGAGGCCCAUCUGGAAGCCUGGAUUCUCUAGGGAUAUAAUUAUGCUAAGCGACACUCACAAGGGACAGCACAAUUUAGCUUCUACCUGGGCAACCUCUGGCAGCAAAUCCCUCAAUUCUUGGGAGGGGACUGGCUGCAGUCCCUUCAGGGCUCCUGCUUCUGAGUGUGUGUGUGUGUGUGUGUGUGUGUGUGUGUGUAUGUGUGAGAGAGAAAGAUGUGGGGGAGAGGAAGAGAGAUUCAAGGGUAUGGCCCACUUUCAUUUUGUAUGAGCUGCUGUGAUAAUUUAUUGCAUCUUUGCUGUGUCCUCAGCAGGGAGAGUAUGCAUGCUUUGGGGAGAGUAAAAGGUCACACCAAUAACCAAAAAAAAAAAAAAAAAAA
rnacentral:lncRNA from 1 species